rnacentral:rRNA from 1 species
GGAUUUUUCUAGUGUGGGGGGGAAUAGCUUCGGGGAACUCGAAUUAAUUACCGCAUACGACCUACGGGAGAAAGGGCGCGCUUGUUUACUGCUCUCGCUAUUAGAUGAGCCUAAGUCGGAUUAGCUAGAUGGUGGGGUAAAGGCCUACCAUGGCGACGAUCUGUAGCUGGUCUGAGAGGAUGAUCAGCCACACCGGGACUGAGACACGGCCCGGACUCCUACGGGAGGCAGCAGUGGGGAAUAUUGGACAAUGGGGGCAACCCUGAUCCAGCCAUGCCGCGUGUGUGAAGAAGGCCUUUUGGUUGUAAAGCACUUUAAGCAGUGAAGAAGACUCCAUGGUUAAUACCCAUGGACGAUGACAUUAGCUGCAGAAUAAGCACCGGCUAACUCUGUGCCAGCAGCCGCGGUAAUACAGAGGGUGCAAGCGUUAAUCGGAAUUACUGGGCGUAAAGCGAGCGUAGGUGGCUUGAUAAGUCAGAUGUGAAAUCCCCGGGCUUAACCUGGGAACUGCAUCUGAUACUGUUAGGCUAGAAUAGGUGAGAGGAAGGUAGAAUUCCAGGUGUAGCGGUGAAAUGCGUAGAGAUCUGGAGGAAUACCGAUGGCGAGGCAGCCACCUGGGUCAACACUGACGCUCAUGUACGAAAGCGUGGGGAGCAAACGGGAUUAGAUACCCCGGUAGUCCACGCCGUAAACGAUGUCUACUAGAAGCUCGGAGCCUCGGUUCUGUUUUUCAAAGCUAACGCAUUAAGUAGACCGCCUGGGGAGUACGGGCCGCCAAGGUUAAAACUCAAAUGAAUUUGACGGGGGGCCCGCACAAGCGGUUGGAGCAUUGUUGGUUUAUUUCGAUGCAACGCGGAAGAACCUUUACCUUACACUUUGACAAUAACAGAAGAACCUUACCAAAAGAUUGGUUUGGGUGGCCUUUCCGGAACUCUUGAAUACAGUGGCUGCAAUGGCCUUGUUCGUCCAGCUUCGUGUUGUGAAAAAUGUUGGGGUUAAAGUUCCCGGCAAACGGAGCGCAACCCCUAUUCCUAAGUUGGCUAAGCAGGGUAAUGCUUGAGAAACUCUUAGGAACUUGCCGUGUACAAACCUGGAAGGAGGUGGGCAAUGACUUCAGGUCAUUACUUGCCCUUAACGGCCCUGGCUUAACUCCUGAGCU